ensembl:lincRNA
CAUGCCCAGGAGGCCGGGGGUGCACAGCCGGCUUCCCUUGCCCACAGCUGGCCCCUUCCGUCAGCGUCCUCCGUGGGCCCGCUGGGGCUCAACCCUGGACCUGGGAUUCCAAGAGGGAUCGAUCACUUGCAUUUUGCCCGUGAUGGAGGCCCCGAGAGGCAGGCCCCCCCCGGGUCCCCUGCGCCAAGUGUCUUCUGCUCGGCUCUCACCCAGAGCUCACUCUGUCGGCUCAAGGCAAAGCCAUGCUUCUCUGCGCGCGAGCUCCUGCCUGUCUUCCCCUCCCGCCCCCUGCGAAGCCAACUCGCUCCGGUUUGUUGUGCCAGUGACGCAGGUCACGACAGAAAACCAGAGAAUCCCAAGAAUUGAAACCGGGCAGGAGAGAGUCCUCCCCAAGCCCUCAUCCGGAGAGGGCCCCCUGCUGCGGCUUGGAGACGCAUCUUCCAUGUGGUGUGAAGUCACUCGGCGCCAUGCAUCCCUCCUGCUGCUGCCCGGCGUGGACAGAAAUGGCUCGGGCCCAUGGGCACUCCUGAGGGGGAUCGUGUUCGUGGAGGGCCGGACCGGGGAGCAGCUGGGGAGCGGACUGGACAGGAGGCUCGCGGCUCUGGUGUGUCUCAGCCCAGAGGGCCCCUCUGGACCAAGCACGGCCCGGGGAGGCUCCAGCGUGGCUCGGCUCUCUCUUCUCUGGCUCUGUCCCUUGAUGUCCCUUGACCCAAGGGGAAGGCUUAGGAAGAAAUAUCUACGUGGAAAAUUCGAGAUGGGGUUAAGUAGCAGGGGGCACGGGAGACAGCGGAAUCAUUUGGGUGGGCAUUUUUUUUUUUGUUCCAGAAAGGAUUUUUACGCAGGGGCUGGCGUAUUCUGCAGCCUGUGACCUGCCCUCCUGGGCCUGACCCCAGGGCAGCCGCUGCUUCACACGCCGAGUCCCACCUGAGUCUCUCGGCCCCUCUUCCCCGCAGUUGUCGCUGCCUUGGGACGGUGCCAGUCUGUGGUUUUAUAGAAUGUCCCGCACGUUGGGUUUGCCAAGGACUUCCUCACGCCGAGAUCCACACUGGGCAUUCCGGCAGGAGGACGGGGAAGCUUCCUUCUCAGCGCACCGUCCCGGGGACACGGCGGCCACAGGGCCGCGUGCUGUUGACCUUGAUUGACCCCUUCGCUGAGCUGCUCUCUACGGGGGGCUUCUCUCCUGCAAAUUUUUCCCUUGAAAAGCGAUUUGAAAAUAUUCUUUCUUGGAAAACACUCCUAUUUUUCUGGUUGUAAUUAGUAAAUGGCUUGAGGGAGCUGCUCGGGGCUAUGCAAAUGCACUGUUAUUUGUAGAUGUGAUUUGGGGCGCCCGCGGGUCUUACUGGGAUGGUGUUCUGCUCCCGCGCCCCCUCCCCGUUCAUCAUUCGACUCUUCUCUGGGAAAGAGCCGUCCCCCCACCCCCACCCCCACCGUUGAACUCUGCAGAUAGUCCCGAAGGCCAGCACGGGCCGCGGACAGCUAUUUAGUUGGGUUGGAAUGCACCACUCUUGGUACCUGUGUUCUCGCCGGAUCCUUCCGGCGCUGGCCGGGGCGGCUCCUCGGGGCUGGGUCCUGCGUCCCUGGCCUUGGGCCCUGAUUUCCUCACCUCACAGGCUGCGGCGCGGGGCCAAGCCCAGAACCCGCCUCUUCUCCGAGGAGGCCCCGUGUCCGCGUCUUCUGCCGCGUCUUCUGCCGCGUCGCUCCCAAUGCUGCCCUCUUCCUCCCGGAGCUGUGACCGAGUGACCAGCCAAGGCCCCUGCCCUCUGUCGGCCCUGGGGGGGGCGGUUUGCUGGGCGGGGGGGCGUCCCUCAUUCGUG